GUCAGUUUCAGUUUCAUAAAUGCUGCUAGCCAGCGUUUAGCCAUGAUCAGCUGCCCUCGUGCUAGCUUGCUGAUAUAGUAGUUUUCAUCGAUCUUUACGUGCAACUAUUGAAAUCUACAUAUCCGCACAUUUCUCAUCAUAGAGAUCAGGAGAAAUCGGCAUCACGCCGCAAGACCAAUAAUGACUUCUCUUUCUACUAGGGUAUGGUAGAAACACCGAACCGAAAAACCCGGUUUGAACUGAUGCACAAGUUUGACCCGUACAACCCCCUGGCAGCCCCUCUCUUUAAAGUUUAAAACCAAUCCCACAUUUUAUACCUUGCAGAUGAAACCUAGCCAUUGCCUCCAUUCCCCUUCGUGAAGGCUUAGAUUUGGGACACUACUAGGAUGAUAAAGAUGGGAACUUGAGAAAUUAAUUUGCUUGAUGGAGCGAAUAAUCGAACCAGGAUGAUUGAUUCCCCCAAAGCAGACUUGAAAGUCUUAAAAGGAGCAGAUACAUCUUGCUGAUAUCUCUCUCUUCUUCUCCCCAUUUCUCGAUUCCAUUAUAGAAUCGGCUUAUCUCAAACCUCACCGGGAUCCUAGCUGCAAUUAAUGUUGUUAAUCCAGGAAACUUCUUUCCAAUCCCGUCCUCCUCUCUCAAAUAUCUAUGUGAGUCUUAUUUUCUUUUCACUUUUGUCUGGUUCUCUAGUCCUUUUGAGAGAGAAUGAUGUGAAGCCUAGAGACAGUGAAUGCAAAAGGUGAUAUGAAGCUGAGGCUUGGUCAAUUUCUUUGACGCUGUGAUUUUUCCGUUGGCCUGUUCUUUUAUUUCAAACGGCAUCAAACAGACAUAAAAAAUAUUUGAUUCGAUGUUCA